rnacentral:rRNA from 1 species
UACAGAGGGUGCAAGCGUUGUUCGGAAUUAUUGGGCGUAAAGCGCGUGUAGGCGGCUUUGCAAGUCGGGUGUGAAAGCCCUCAGCUCAACUGAGGAAGUGCGCCCGAAACUGCAGAGCUUGAGUGCCGGAGAGGGUGGCGGAAUUCCCCAAGUAGAGGUGAAAUGCGUAGAUAUCGGGAGGAACACCAGUGGCGAAGGCGACUUCCUGGCCUGUUCUUGACGCUGAGGCGCGAAAGCUAGGGGAGCAAACGGG